rnacentral:hammerhead_ribozyme from 1 species
AUUCAGCUGACCAGUCCCAAACAGGACGAAACACGCGUCUUGGAU